rnacentral:sRNA from 1 species
AUAUUGUAUUUCUAGGUACAUAUCGUACAUGGCAGGCCCUGAAAUUUUGGGGGCCUAAAAUUUUUAAGAAGUUUGUUGUAGUUUCUAAAAUUGGGGGCCAAUUUAUAGGAAAAAUCAAUUGGGGGCCUUUUUGUAAAGAAAAAAUAACUAAAAUUUUGGGGACUACAGUCAAUUGUUUCUUCUUGCUCUGCUUAGUUACGACACUAUAUGUAUGACUAUAUGUAUUAACUAUACGAUGUAAUGUGUUUUAUACCAUAGACAUACAAUUCCGGUACGCUAUUUGACUAGCUUCGACGUUAACCAACAUUGACCAACAAAAAUAUUUAAGAAAUU